GGCGGACGGGUGAGUAACGCGUGGGUAACCUGCCUUAUACAGGGGGAUAACAACCAGAAAUGGUUGCUAAUACCGCAUAAGCGCACAGGACCGCAUGGUCCGGUGUGAAAAACUCCGGUGGUAUAAGAUGGACCCGCGUUGGAUUAGCUGGUUGGCAGGGUAACGGCCUACCAAGGCGACGAUCCAUAGCCGGCCUGAGAGGGUGAACGGCCACAUUGGGACUGAGACACGGCCCAGACUCCUACGGGAGGCAGCAGUGGGGAAUAUUGCACAAUGGGGGAAACCCUGAUGCAGCGACGCCGCGUGAAGGAAGAAGUAUCUCGGUAUGUAAACUUCUAUCA
rnacentral:rRNA from 1 species